AGUUCUCGUCGAUCACCGAAGUUAAGCAACGUCGAGCCUGGUCAAUACCUAGGUGGUUGACCACUUGGGAAUACCAGGUGUUGUAAG